rnacentral:rRNA from 1 species
GACGAACGCUGGCGGCGUGCCUAACACAUGCAAGUCGAACGGAAAUGCCCUGCUUUUUUGGUGUGCUCGAUUGGCGAACGGGUGAGUAACACGUGAGUAACCUGCCCUUGACUUUGGGAUAACUUCAGGAAACUCGGGCUAAUACCGGAUAUGAUCUCCUGUAGCAUGGUGUGGGUGGGAAAGUUUCGGCGGUCGGGGAUGGACUCGCGGCUUACCAGCUUGUUGGUGGGGUAGUGGCUUACCAAGGCUUUUACGGGUAGCCGGCCUGAGAGGGUGACCGGCGACAAUGGGACUGAGGUACGGAGCAGAAUCCUACGGUAGGCAGUGGUGGGGAGUAUUACACAGUGGGCGGAAGCGGGAUGCGGCAGCGCUGCGUGCGGAAUGACGGCCUUCGGGUUAUGAACAGCUUUCGCCUGUGACGAAGCGUGAGUGACGGUAAUGAGUAAAGAAGCACCGGCUAACUACGUG